GGUGCGGCUCGCCCUCUGACGGCCGCCCCUGGACCUGCACCUCGCGUGGCGGUCGGGCGCCUGGGCCCGCAGACGGUCCCGUGACACCCGCAGCCACGGCCGGCCGCACCAGGCCAGAAGCUGAGGCCCAGAGAGGGAAAGGAUGGAAGAUAAAAAAGGCUGGGGGGCAUCUGCAUCCUGUCACCACCAAGCUUGUCUCCUCCGGGUUCCCGCUUGUCCCUGCAGGCCGUCCCGCGGGCGGCGUGGCGCCGGCGACCUUGCCCCCUGGUGGCCGGAGCGCCGCGCGUCUGCCCCCGGCACUCGCCCCGCCCGGCCGCGCGCACGCCGAGGAAGAUCGCCCACCGCUGCCAGCGUGGGUGCCUCGGGGCUUGGGUUCUCUGGGGACAAGCCAGCCUCAAAGUCCCCAGGCGCUGCCACUCUCCCUGCCGGAGGGCCCGGAAUUUUACCGGGUUAUUACAUUUUCUCCUGCAAAUGCUGAGUGGAGGCAAAACACAGCACAGGGCGAUUUCUACACCCAAGCGUUCAUAAAAUCCCCUGCCACCGUGAGCAGCCACUGGGUCAGGAUUGCUUCUUCGGCUGCUGCUCUCCCGGUAACGUCCAGCUACGUCUUGGCGUCCCCACCUGCUCACCCUUCCUCCCGAGCAGGCAGCAGGACGUCCAGCCUGUGGGCAUCGCUCAGUAGAUAUUUACUGGCGAAGAUGGAAGAUGAUACGGUGGCGAGAGAGAAAGAAGUCCAUUCCAUAGUGGCCUGCACAGGUCACUUUCUCAUACACGGUCUCACACCAUUCCUCACCACACCUCCAUGAGCCCCUAAGACCAAGCUCACUCGUGUUGAAGCCUGGCCCUCAGCAUGGACCCUUGUGGGGGACCCCAGCCCCUCCCCCCCUCCUCCUGGGCUCUGCCACACGCAAUCAAAGCAGCAUCGCUCCCUCCUCCUGGCUUCUCAGAGUUCUCCAUUGGAAUGUGACCAAAUCAACUGCGAAGCAAAAGCAUUCUCUUGUUUUCUUCUGUGACAACUUAAUAUUCAAAUAUUACCAAGAUGGAAAAGCGGAAAUCUCCUAUUGCCACAGCCAGGAUACGGUCCUAGAAGAAGAAGUACUGGGUGGAAGCGAAUGAAUAUUUUGCAGGCUACAGAGUCUCAAGUUGCUCUGCAGACACAUCGUACAAACUCGCACCCCAGCGUAUCAUCCAACACGCGCCAUCGCCGGAUAGAAGGACGUUCUGCAGUUUCAUUGUCAUUUCUUUGCUUUCUCAUAAAGCUGAGCAUCUUUUCCCGUCCGUUGCCUAGUCAUUGGCUGAUGGAGACUUCACAGCCCCUAACCCAAGACCAGGGCCCACAGGGGGUGAAGAGGACACCUUGCCCCUCAACUCUCCCUGACAGUGGGGGAAUUGGGAGACGUGGGAGGCCAAGUUCACAGCCCCAAGACCAGAGCUGACUCUCUGCUGUGUUUAGAAGGAAGUCUGGAAUGAAAGGCGAUCAGAGGGCAGGGGUGCCUCCCAGGACCUGACCCAACCCAAUGCCCCAGUGUUAGCAACGGUGGCCAUAGGAUCUCAGAGUGCACACGUUUCUGGGACCCUCCUUCUGGCUAGGUCUGCAAAAGGCAGGUUCCCAGGCUGGAGGCUGUGCGCAGGAGGAGGUGAAAUCUGCCCAGGCAGCCGCAGGUGCUCUGGGGGGAUUCCCUGGUUUCUGGGUAAACAUCUCCUGGCCUCUUGAGGGUUUUGCUUGGGGGCCUCAGCAGAGCUUGGAUGGGAUUUCUGUCCAGCAGUAUGCCCACCUGCCCCAAAUCACAAGCCAGGGACCCCAGGAGGAUCCUUCCAGCAGGUGCCUGAAUCCAGUCGCCUUGUCAGCCCGCCACUCCUCCCAGCUCCCCAAAUAUGACCAAUGGCGCCACCUACUGGCAAAGACAAAAACCUCUGUGUUACUUGGCUCUGUCCCCUCUGUCCCCCAUAUUCAGGCAGUGCCAGGGCAACCAAUCCACCUGCUGAGGUCCUCCAGCCCUGGCCCCUGUCACCACCUCUCCAGCCUGUCACCCCCAUGUUCAUCUCCCUCCUGGAAUGCUGCUCAGCCUCCAACAUGGUCUCCCCCAUCUAUUCUUGGCCCUGUAAUCCUUUCUCCGGGCGGAAGCCAGAGACCUUCCUAAGAUUCCCAAAAGACUCAGCCACACCCUUGCUUACAACCUUCAAUGGCUCCUCAUUGCUUCUAGGGAGGCAUCCAGCCUCCUCCCCAGGUAAGGAGUAAGGCCUCCGUGAGUGGCCCUGCUCUCUUCUCCUGCCUCAUCUCCUUUCCCUCCCCGGCCCCAGCAAAAUCCUCAUCGUAGCACCGGCGGGCACCGAAGGACAGGAGCAGUCUCACCUCGGCCUCCGCACAAGCCAAUUCCUCUGCUUCCUUGCCGGCCUCGCUCCUGGUUCUUUAAGACUUCUAAACAUCAGCUCCUCCGAGAAGCUUUCCACCUCGUGUGAGUUGAGUUUCCUGUGGCUGCUGCGACAACCAGCCACACGCCCAGUGGGUUAAAACAGCACGGACAUCUGCUCCCACCUCUCUGGAGGUCAGAAGUCAAACACGAGUGUUCUGGGGACCAAAGUGUGGGCAGGGCUGCAUCCCUCCUGGAGGGCUCAGGAGAGAAUCCAAUCCUUGCUCUUUUUGGUUUCUGAGACUACCUUCGUUCCUUGCUUCGUAGCCCUUCCCCAUAGCACUCUGACCUCUCGCUUCCGCCCUCACAUCUCUCUCUCUGACCCUCCUGCCUCCCUCUGAUAAAGGCCGCGCGACCACAUUUAGGGCCCCCAGGUAACCCAGGAUAGUCUCCCCCUCCCUAGAUCCUUAACUCAGUCACAUCUGCAGAGCGCCUUUCGCCACAUAAGGCACGCCUGCAGGUUCUGGGCAUUAGGACGUGGACAUCUUUGGGGGGAGCAUUUGCCCUACUGCUCCCAUCUCCCCCAAAGCGUGCGUGAGAUGCCUCUCUUCUGUGCUGACACAGCUCCUGACAUCUCCUCUUUGUUGGACACACCCCCCAGGGUGUAAAUGUCCUUUGGCUUGUCUGACUCUUCUGCUAGCCCCAGCCGCAGGGCUGGGCUGUCCUCUGUGCCCCGUGUUCCUGGGGACUGGCACGGUGCCUGAUGUGUAAGUAGCGUGGGCUGGAUGUCUGUGAAAGGAGCAAAUGUCUAUCUCUCCGGCUCCUUCAGUCACCCAAAGACGGACAGCAGGAAGCCCAGCUCUGGGACAGCUUCUGCAACCACCAAGCUUCUCGGGUGGGCACGGUCCUUCUCGCCUGUCUUCCUCUAGAAGGCAGUGACCCCGGCAAUGCACGAGGUUGGGAGAUCUGCUCUGGCAAAGGCCUGGGGGCAGGAUCAAUGAUGUUGUGAUCAGAGAGGCUGACGAUUUGGGGUGGCUGAACGAAGCAUGAGAUUCUGUGCUGAGAACGACGGGGAAGGCAGGAAGUGAGGCAGCAAAGGUCUUAACCAUGUUUUAGGGCCCUAGAAUAUGUGCAAGAGGCAGUCUGUCUGCCGUGGGAGAGGAGGUGGCUCCUGCCAGCUGGUGCUAAAAAGACUGGAGACUCGUAGGCACGCACUCUGCACACGGCCUCCCUCUGAUGGGGCUGUCACCGAGGCAACAGAUGAAGCUGGUUGCCCAGCAACAAGGCCCUGCCCCCCCCAUCCCUCCUAUGGCCAUUUCUGCCCCUUGGGAGCUUGAUGCCCUUUCUAGAUUGUGCCAGUGUUUAGAUGGAACCAGGUUUCCUCUGUGCCCAAAUACCAAGGGUGAGCAGAUGAAAAGGAGUUCGUUUGUGACUGUCGCAGUCAAGGGUCAUGGAUUAAGCAUCGGAAGAGAGGAGACCCAAGGUGGCCUAGGUGAGGAGAAGGGAACAAGGGGGUGUUUUGGCCUAAGUCUUCCCUGGCUGUUUUUCUUUUCCAUUUGUCCUAAAGUGCAGCCAGAAGAACACAGUCUGGGAGUCAGGAGCCUUGCUUGGUUCUCUGGCCUGGAUCUAACUCCCACUUGCUGAGCAUUUCCCCUCCCCGGUCCUCAGUUUCUCCAUCUGUGAGAGGAGAGUUUGGGCAUCCUGGUGACCAAGGCCUCCUCUGGGCCUGGCGGUCUGUGAUUCCAGAGCCUGAGGGCAGGGAGGGAGCGGACAGCUUCGCGGGUUCCUGCACCCCACCCCCACCUGGCCCUACAGCAGCCUCAGGUCUUGAUUUGAGGGAGGAUGGGGGGCAGGACAGCCACCUGGCUCAGGGCCUCAAAUUCAUGAAAAGCCCCAAAUUUAAACUUUGGAUGUCAUCACCAAAGAAAGCUAUAAAGAGUCACUGUCACAUAUGUGAAAAGUAUUAAGCUAUACUCAUAAACAUUUAAAAUAAGCUUCAGUCUUUGUAACUCUAUUUGUCAUUUUUCAUUUAAAAAAUAUAUGUUGGUCUAAGGAAGAAAUGGGGUGGCCAGGACCUCUGUCCCUCUUUGAGGGCCCUGGCUCCCCAGCUCCUUGGCUGCCCAGGGGCCCUCCCAGGGGUCUGGGGACCUGGGCUGCCCUUCUGUGGUGGAAGAAGGAGACGACACGGGGCCUUCAGAGGGUGUGAGGUGGCGGGUCUCGGCCCAGGUCUGUGGGGCGGUGGGGUCUGAGCGUUGGGACUCGCGCCUAGGGAAGCCAUGAGGGAGGCGGAGCUGGCCAGGGCCGAGGUGCCUCUGUCCCUCCACUCUGCCAGAGACUCUGAGGGUAAGGAUCUAGGGUUAGGUGAGCCAGCCCUAGCUCCCCGCCGGGCCUUGGCCUGCCAGGAGUGCCCCUGGGGGUCUUUUGCUGGGCGCCCUGGUCUCCGGCCCCCUGAGGGCGAGGUGCCUGGUGGGUUGGGCUGGGGGUCAGGCCCUCACAAGAAUGGGUCCCCUGAGAGCACCUGGCCCCGAGCGCCCUGAGCUGUCUGUCAGUCAUGCCUUCCGGUCUUCCCACUGCAGGCCUCCCCGCCCACCUCGGCAAAUGAGCGCUGGGAAAGGCUGGGUGGGGAACUCCCAAACGGCCACCUGUCCGCCCCGAGUCACAGAACCCCCCGAGUCACAGAACCGCCCGGCACGGACCCAGCACGCUGCAGGAGGCCAGUUGUCCUGGCCUCUGGGACAGCCUGCGCUUAUCCUGGGCUGGGAGUAGCCCACAGCUGGGGGUUCGAGUCCUGGCUCUGUCAUGGCUGCGGGAAAGUAGUAUGGCCUUUUUAGCCCCAGUGUCCCCAUCUGAGAAAUGAGGGGGUUGGACUCUCCAGAGCCCCUGUCAUCUCAGACGUACUCUGGCACCAAGCGGACGCCCGGCCUCCUGGAUUCCACCUGCCCGCAGGCGUCUGCGAGGAGAUUUGCUCUGAGACAGCGCCACCUGCUGGCCGUUGUGGAUAGGACACCUACCUCUUCUCCGGCGACCCCAGAAUCCCAGAACUCAGCUGUGACAGCAAGAAUGGUGGUCAGAAAGUACCCGUUGCACUUUUUACUUUGCAUUUGGGUCACUUCAUUAACUUUUUACAAUAAACCAUAUGAAACAGAUGCUAUCAUGUUCCAGUUUUAUAGAUUAUAAAACUGAGCUUCAGAGAGGCUAAAUUGCUUAAAUUGGUCAGGGCUGUGGUUGAAAUUCAGUGCUGUGUUCCUAUCACUAACCAGCCCCCUUGCUUGCAGAAGGGGUCCUGAGGCCAGGGGUGAACGACUUGCCAAAGCUGCCCGGCAAGUCAGCGACAAAGCUGGGAACGUACCUAAAUCAACCCGCCGGAGCAUCGUGUUCCAGAGGGGUCCUCCAAGUUUGCUUUUGGGGGUCUGAGCCCCUCUGCAUGCUCAUGCUGGUAAGAAAGACUUGGCUUCAAAUCCGCCUCAGGCAAGUAGGGUUCUCUCCAGAGAACCCAGCACACUCAGGCCUGACCCCGCUCCAUCCACCUUGUGCCCCUGGCUCUGCCUUCUCCCAGCUCUGGAAAAUCUGCAAGUGUGGCUUGUUCCCCCAGGAAGCAGGAAGCAGGAAGCAAGGAGCUUGUUCUGUGGUGGGCAGGUCUAUGCAAACCCACCCUCCAAUGCCAAGGAAGCUGAAAGGCCAACGAAAGAGGCUGAAGGAUCCAGUUUCUCAAAAGGAAACAUUUAAUAGGGACCUACUGAAACUGCCUAUAUUAAAGUGAUGCAGAUCCACUCGGCAAGAACAUCGGUAGGAGUGUGAUUGAGGCAGCAGUGCAGGCAAAGCUAAAGGUUAGCCGGCCAUUGUUUCAUCACUUGCCUUGCUGCAGUCGCUUACCGCUUAGGAGCGGUGCAUCCCCGACUGCCAUGAGAUCCACAGCCUCUCUAAUCACGUCUAUACGCAGCAUCACCAUUGUGAAACCUAAGACUGGCCUUUGAGAUAUCUUGCAGGCUCAGCAUCAGGGGGACCAACUGAUGCCAACCGGACCACCGGCACACUUGGGAACAGACUGACGCAACAGGUCCUGUGACUCUCUACGCAGGAAUUAUCUGUCGCUGCUCCUCGCAGCGCAAAAAGACAAUUUCUGCUUCCAAUCAGCAGACCUAAUUUCCUAGCCCUUUGUCCACCAAACUACCUUUAAGAACCCUGGCCUCUGCCAUAGACUGAAUGGCUUAUAUAAAAACAAUAAUAACAGCAAAAAAGAAAACAAAACCCUGGCUCCCAAAUUCUCAGGGAGACAGAUUUCAGAAAUUCCAUCUCCUCACUCAGUGCCCUGCAAUAUUAAAUUCUUUCUCUGCUGCGACACCUGCUGACUCAGUGUAUCGGCGUCCCUCUGUGCAGCUGGCAAUAGAACCUGGCUGGGCGGUAACAUUAUAAACAGAAGAACAGAAGCCACGUCUUGGGCAGUAGCGAGAGGAGAUGGCAGAUUCCCUUCCUGUUACAUGCCCCCCCCCCAUACCAUAUUGAAGGAAUAAGUACGAGACAAUUGAAGUUGACCCCUCACGGAAAGGCAAGAAUGCAAUGGGAAUCUGCCUAAGGGCAGGAUUUAUGGUCAAGGUUGCUUUGACCUAAAGGCAGGAAAUCUUAGAGGCAUUCCUGGAGCUGGGGUUAAUUAGAAUUCAACAAGGCAGAUGAGCACCCAGGAUGGAGUUGUCUUAUCCUUCCCAGAGCUUGCCAAGGUGGAGAGAAGCUUAGUGGCUUGUUCACUGUCACCGCAAUUUUACGGAGUGGCCGGGACUGGAAUGGAGUGACCCAAUGACCAGCUUGGGGCUUUUCCCAUUCCAUCUUUCCCGUGGCCCCCUCAUCCUGCCCCAAAAGAAGGCCUGAGUUGGUUCAGCCAGGAGUUAGCCAAGGACCAAAGUGGGAACAGGCAGGAAGGAGCUAGAAGUCCAUGCUCAAGACAGUAGCAGGUUUUGGUGCUGCAAGAACAGAAACAUUAAAAUAACCAGACAACCAAUAAAAAGACAAAAAAACAAAACAAAACAAAGAAACAAAAACAAAAAAACAAGCAUGGAAGACCCAGAUCUAAAUGCCCAGAAGAAAGACUGACAAAAUUAAAAAGUGCUAAAGCAAAUUCUGAGUGAGCUGCACACUGCAUAGCAAUAAGCCCUGUGACUUUGAGGGACCCUGUAAACAGCUAUUAAAGAAAGAAGACCAGAAGGUAAUAUACCAAUAUCCUAACAGUGGUUGUUUCUGGUAGUAGAUUGUAAGUGAUUUUUCUUCUCUUUGACUAUAUAUGUUUUCCAGUUUCUCUGCAAAGAAUCCAUAUUGCUCACAUAAUAAGAAAAAAAGUUAUUUGUAAAAAGGAAGCAAGAAGUAGAGUAUCUUUAUGAUUUAAGGAAGAAGAGGAAGAGGUUCUUAAACAAAAAGCAUAAACCAAUAAAGAAAAAACUGGCAAGUUAAAGAUAUUUGCCAUUCAUAUAAUUGACAAAGGAUUGUGAUAUAUGGAGAACUCCUAUUAAUCAAUAAAAAAAGAUAUAUAACUUAAGAUAAAAAAAAAAGGAGCUAAGACUAUGACUAGGCAAUUUGCAGAAGAGGAGAUCCAAGUUAUCAACGAGCAUGUGAUAGGUUUCCCAGCCUCACCGGUUGUACCAUUCCUCCCUCAUGUUGGCAAAAAUGGAAACGUCUGAAAGUAUUGAGUAUUGGGGAAGAUAUGGAGACACAAAUACUCUCAUAUGCUGCUGGAUGGAGUACAAAUUAGCAAGGUCACUUUGCAGAGAAAUUUGGCAGCGAACGUGAAGGGGAGAGGACUGGAAUACAGCAGACGGUCAGCAAGACCGCGGGCUUCUGUUCUGAAAAGAGCACAGAGUGGAGUCCUUUUUCUACCCAAAGAACUAAGGUGGCAAGUAUGACCCACUGUUGGUGUUUUGUCCUGGAAAAUGAGU